AAAAAAGUUGGGCGAUCUAUAAAAUUUAAUGCACUAUUGACUACAUAUGAAGUUGUUCUGAAGGAUAAGGCAGUUCUGUCGAAGAUCAAGUGGAAUUAUCUCAUGGUUGAUGAAGCCCAUAGGUUAAAAAAUAGUGAGGCACAGUUGUAUACAACUCUAUCGGAAUUUAGCACCAAGAACAAGUUGUUGAUUACUGGCACUCCAUUACAGAACAGCGUGGAAGAGCUAUGGGCUCUGCUUCACUUCCUUGAUUGUGAUAAGUUCAAGAGCAAGGAUGAUUUUGUUCAAAAUUACCGGAACCUGAGCUC
rnacentral:misc_RNA from 1 species